rnacentral:rRNA from 1 species
CCAGACUCCUACGGGAGGCAGCAGUGAGGAAUAUUGGUCAAUGGGCGAGAGCCUGAACCAGCCAAGUCGCGUGAGGGAAGACGGUCCUAUGGAUUGUAAACCUCUUUUGUCGGGGAGCAAAAGACGCCACGUGUGGCGUUCCGAGAGUACCCGAAGAAAAAGCAUCGGCUAACUCCGUGCCAGCAGCCGCGGUAAUACGGAGGAUGCGAGCGUUAUCCGGAUUUAUUGGGUUUAAAGGGUGCGUAGGCGGACAGUCAAGUCAGCGGUAAAAAUGCGGUGCUCAACGCCGUACAGCCGUUGAAACUGGCAGUCUUGAGUGGGCGAGAAGUAUGCGGAAUGCGUGGUGUAGCGGUGAAAUGCAUAGAUAUCACGCAGAACUCCGAUUGCGAAGGCAGCAUACCGGCGCCCGACUGACGCUGAGGCACGAAAGCGUGGGUAUCGAACAGGAUUAGAUACCCCAGUA